ACAUAGUGAUUUGUGGACUAAAGAGCUAAUGUUGGGCUUGUACUCUAUGCACAGUUAACAUACUGUUAAAACUGAAAUUUGAACCACAGUUGUUGGGGACUGGUGUCAUUCAGCUGAAGUUUGUGCAUAAUUUGGAACCUUGCAAAGCAAGGACUCACUGUACUUCCAACACUUGCCAAGACUGAUCUAGCGAGGCUACUGUCCAGUGGCCAAUUGAUCUUCAGCAGAGAUCAGUACUGAGGCCCUCAUUCCUCAAUGAGGCCAACUGGCCACUUGAUGGCAAGUUGGACACAUUAGGUCCCUUCCAUUUUGGAAGGGCCAACAGUUUGUUCCCAUAGGACCAUAUUCUGGGAUGAGCUUUCCUCUUCUACCUGUACAGCCUCAUCCAGCACCACUAUCUGAGGACUUACACAGUGUUUGACUCACACGAACCAGAUCCCACAUUGUGUCAGACAAGGGAACCAACUUAACCAGAGAGGAGUGGUGGAAACAGGCCGUGACUAUGGGAUCCACUGAUCCUAUCCCCCAAGACACUGCCAGCCCAGUGGGGUUGGAACACCCUGCAAAAGACAGAGCUGAAGUCCCAGCUAGAGACUUUACUCUGGGAGGACGCAUCCUGGAGAGUGCAGCAUGUGCAUUGAACCAACAUCUUCAGGUAGAUUUGUGUCCCCAACAGGAAGAAUCAAUAAGCCCAGUUGGCCCUAUUUACCAUCAUUCUCAUUGACUGACUUUCGAGGGACUUUGUGUUUCUUAUCUCCACAUUGCUGGGCUUUGCAGGAUUCGAGGUCCUUGGCCCCAAAGAGGACUCAGGGAACCCAGAAUAAGUGCAUGGAAUAAUAAACUACAGCUGUUGCCCAAACACUUUGCACUUCUUGUGUCCAGGGACCAGCAGGCAAGAAGAGAAGUCACCGUUUUGGCAGGGAUAACUGACCCUGAUCAUCAGGAUUGGGUAAGGCUAUUCUUGAACAAUGGGACAGGGUGAAAUACGUGCCCAAUCAUGACUGUAAAUGGACAGGUACAGAAACCUGACCUGAGAAGGAAAUGGGGACCAGGGCUCAGGGCCCUCACUGAUGACAGCUAGUUAAGGCCCCCAGGUAAGUCUCCAAGGCCAGAAGAGGAGGUAACCAAGGGUGAGGGGGAUCUAGAAUAAUGAAGGAGGAAAAUGAUUCAGAUCAAUUGUGGCCCAAGACCAACUGUCGUGAUGGGGACAAAAUUUGUUUCUCCAAAAGUGUACCUUAAGAAGAGAGGCCACUGGAAUCCUGAAAAACCUGCUUUCUCAAUACGCAUGGAGAAUGGAUCCAAGCAGCAAAAGGAGAUGGAGGACGUGGAGAUCCAUGGCCCAGGACCUCCUUUCAAGGAAGGACAGAGAUAAUCCAACAUGCAACACAUCCUACCAAAAAUAAGGCUUGUUAAGACCUUCUUCUGUAAGUUGGCUGCUCCCCUGGACGUUUCACUGUGGCCACUAGUCUUGGCUACAGUCUUUAGGAGGAGGAGAGGAAGAGAGAGAGAGAGAGAAGGCCAAGCGGACUUCCCUCUGAUCGGGGCUAGAUCCCACAACCCUGAGAUCAGGGCCCAAGCUGAUACCAAGAAUCGGACACUUCACCAACUGAGUCACCCAGGCACCCUGACUUAUAGCUUUAUAAAUGUAUAUAAUAAAAUGAACUUGGUACAGCCGUUUCAGAAGACAGGUUGGCAGUUCCUUAUAAACUAAACAUACCCUUGCUACACCAUCGAGCAAUUGUGCUUCUUGGUACUCUACCCAAAGGAACCCAAAGCUUAUGUCCACACCAAAACUUGCACAUGGAUGUUUCUAGCAGCUUUAUUCACAAUCACCAAAAUGUGGAAGCAACUACGAUCUGUUUCAGUAGAUGAAUGGAUAAAAAAACUGUGGUUCACCCAAACAAUAGAAUAUUAUUCAGCACUAAAGAAAUGAACUGUCAAGCCUUGGAAAGAUAUGGAGGAAACUUCAAUGCAUAUUAUUAAGGAAAAGAGGCCAAUCUAAGGCUCUAUGGGGGAUGAUUCCAUCCAGAAUCAUAAGAUCAGUGGUUGCCCGGGACAAGGCUGGGGGUGAACAGAUGGAGCGCAGAGGAUUUGGGGAUAUGGUGAAGAUACUCUGCACGAUACUACCGUGGUGGAUAUAUAUUAUUAUACGUUUGUCUAAACCCACAGAAUGUACAACACCAAGAGUGAAUACAGAGAUAAACUAUGGACUCUGGGUGAUGAUGUGUCAACAUAGGUUCAUCAGUUGUAACAAAUGUAUCACUCCGGUGGGGGAUAUUGGUAAUGGGGACAGGAGGUAUAUGGGAAAUCUCUGUACCUUCCCCUCAAUUUUUCUGUGAAGCUAAACAUGCUCUGAAAAGAUAAGAUCUUAAUAAUACAAAUAAACAAAAUGAACUCUAUGCAACA